rnacentral:misc_RNA from 1 species
UUUCCGUAGGUGAACCUGCGGAAGGAUCAUUAUUGUAGGGACUCCGGUCCCCUCAAGAUGCAACCCGUGCCUUUUUUGUAGCCCGUAACGUUUCCUCGGCAGCCCCGCUGCCAGCGAGGACCCCCCCCAAACCAAACCUGCAAUCUCAGUAAAAAUUUCAGAAACCCCCCAAAAUUUAAAACUUUCAACAAUGGAUCUCUUGGCUCUGGCAUCGAUGAAGAACGCAGC